rnacentral:rRNA from 1 species
ACUACGGGAGGCAGCAGUGGGGAAUAUUGGGCAAUGGGCGCAAGCCUGAUCCAGCAACGCCGCGUGAAGGAAGAAGGCUUUCGGGUUGUAAACUUCUUUUAAGAGGGAAGAGCAGAAGACGGUACCUCUUGAAUAAGCCACGGCUAACUACAUGCCAGCAGCCGCGGUAAUACGGAGGUGGCAAGAGUUGUCCGGAUUUACUGGGAGUAAAGGGCGGGCAGCCGGGAAGACAAGUCAGAUGUGAAAUCCCGCGGCUCAACCGCGGAACGGCAUUUGAAACUGUUUUGCUUGAGUACCGGAGAGGUGAUCGGAAUUCCGUGUGUAGCGGUGAAAUGCGUAGAUAUAAGGAAGAACACCAGUGGCGAAGGCGGACGCCUGGACGGCAACUGACGGUGAGGCGCGAAAGCGUGGGGAGCAAACAGGAUUAGAUACCCGAGUAGUC